rnacentral:lncRNA from 1 species
ACAGAUUUUGUAGUAAAAUCACAAUCUCAAUAGUUUCUGGUUUCCUAUAAAUAAAACUCAUAAGUUUCAUGGGAAACAAAAGAUCGAAACGUGGUAGCUCCAUAAUGCUUCGACAGAAAAAGAAAAGAUAGGAGCAGUGAUGAGAAACACACUAAACCCAACGACGUCGAAUUAGCUUCUUUACAUGUAAUCACACUCUCAUACCUCACUUCAUCACUACUCUUUACACCGCAUCUGCUACUACUUUUUUUUU